UACGUAGGUGGCAAGCGUUGUCCGGAAUUAUUGGGCGUAAAGCGCGCGCAGGCGGUCCUUUAAGUCUGAUGUGAAAGCCCACGGCUCAACCGUGGAGGGUCAUUGGAAACUGGGGGACUUGAGUGCAGAAGAGGAAAGUGGAAUUCCAAGUGUAGCGGUGAAAUGCGUAGAGAUUUGGAGGAACACCAGUGGCGAAGGCGGCAUCCUGGACCGGCAUUGACGCUGAGGCGCGAAAGCUAGGGGAGCAAACGGG
rnacentral:rRNA from 1 species